AUCUUAUUAAACAAUUUUACUGCUAAUAAUCAUGAUUUCAAAUUACUAUGUUGUUGCAUAGCAAUUAUUCAUUAUUGUUGAAGAAUAUAAUCCGACCGACUGCAAUGCAUUUACGUAAUCGCAUUCAGUGCGUGGCCGUUGUGUUGAAACCCAAACGAUUUCCAAACCUUUGAUGGGUUUCGGCAACUUCUCUAGACGGUAAUAGCGAUAAGGUUUUGGUUAUAUAAGCACAGUAAUGGAGGACGUUAAAAAAAACUCAGGGAAAAAAGUUGCUAUAUAAUUUCCAAAGAAUAGGCCGACAGAAGAAUAUGUGGGACGAUGCGCAGUUUUUUCUAGUUUCAUCCGCACACAUUUCUCUGGUUGGCUUUUUAUUCUUGACAAAGAAUGCUUUCAACAGAAACAGAAAUACAUUACUGAAGCGGAGAAAUCUAAAUUGAUUCCACUGUGUCCCAAGUCUGAAACCAUGUAACGUCGGAAUCAUGCCAUAUUACAGGCAUGAUAUAAAGUCAGAGGAACAAAAGGGGGGUAUCCCAACGUUCUCUCUUUUAAUUUUAAUUAAAUUUUCUUAUAUAACAACAAUCGUAGCCUUCGGUCUUCGGUCUGUACAGAAGUUUCACAUUUCAAGGAUUUCAAUUUGGGGCAGGUCAGCAGCAUACGUUGACUAUGAGAGAAAGCCAAAAAUGAACGAGAGUGUUCAUUUUUUUUUUAUAACCAACUGUUAGUGUUUUUUUUUUUGUUGAGUUUAAAAUUUAGGUUAUGAAUUGAAUUUUAAAAGAGAUAUGGUUACUUUUCAUUUUACCUUCACAAGAUCGGUUGUUUCUAUUCGGGAUCUUAAUUGUUUGAACGAGUAAUCAGCACAGCAUUUCCUGUUGAAAUUCCGAAUUCCUUCGAUUCUUAUCAUUAACUUGUCAAAAUUUUCGAAUGAAAGAUCUAAUGUCGCAGGAAAUCGCAACUACAAAUAUCCGGUGUUCCCACAAAGCAUCACCCAUAGCUGCGAUUUUCAACAUCCUGCCUAUAUAGGAUUACGUAGCGAAAACUUUUCUUUUCUCAGGAUACAGGAUACGCUCCCCUCAGUAGCUUGAAAUAACUUCUUUUGACUAUAAUUACUUAUUUAAUUAUCUAUAAAAAAAUACUUUUUUACUGAAAAUGUAUUUUUAAUGCGCAAAAGUUGUACUGUUGUUCUGGUGUAGUGUUAUAGUGAAGUUAUUAUGUCAAUCGAAAUUAUGUCACAUUUUAGCUGGGAAAUUUCAAAGGUUCCUUCUUCCUUGUAGAUUGUUCACAUUUGUAGUCCAAACUAUUCGUUCUGAACUGCAGUUGGUACAGGUUCACUUUCAAAGAGGGGUCGAGUGCGGUAGCGGUAAAUAACGAUGGCCAAUCGAACCGCAAGCUGAAUUGAGGCGACUCCCAAAAUGAUCCACGUCAGAAUUCGUACGCUCUCUGGAACGGGUCCGUCUGUACGAUUCGGAUAGGCUUGUUUACUCAGGAUU